rnacentral:tRNA from 1 species
CACCUUCUGUGGUAGUUGGUAAAGAAUCUGCCUGCAAAGCAGGAGACCUGGGUUCAUUUCCCAGGUUGCUGA